rnacentral:rRNA from 1 species
GACGAACGCUGGCGGCGUGCUUAACACAUGCAAGUCGAACGGUGACCCAGGGCUUGCCCUGGUGAUCAGUGGCGAACGGGUGAGUAACACGUGGGCAACCUGCCCCUGACUUCGGGAUAACUCCUCGAAAGAGGAGCUAAUACCGGAUACGACCACUUCGGACAUCCGAUGGUGGUGGAAAGUUUUCGGUCAGGGAUGGGCCCGCGGCCUAUCAGCUAGUUGGUGGGGUAAUGGCCUACCAAGGCGACGACGGGUAGCCGGCCUGAGAGGGCGACCGGCCACACUGGGACUGAGACACGGCCCAGACUCCUACGGGAGGCAGCAGUGGGGAAUAUUGCGCAAUGGGCGAAAGCCUGACGCAGCGACGCCGCGUGAGGGAUGAAGGCCU